rnacentral:lncRNA from 1 species
UGUCAUUUUCCGGGUAUUUUAUGAUGGGAUACCAAUCGCAUAUAUAUUAAAAGUUUCAUAUGUAUGAACAAGGAAGAGAUGGACACACACGCUGAAUUUAAAGCGCCUGUCUCUGUUGUACUAUUUUUUUCCAGCCUCGGUAUCCAGUUGAUCUGCUGUCAUCCCCUACUCCUCCAUCCAAAAGAACGAAUAGUCAAGGUGAUAUGUAUUAUAAAUAAAGUUCGUCCCAACUGAAAAAGAACACGAGCUAAGCAAAAACAAAGAAAAGCAGUGUGUAAAUACACGCAUGCACCUGGGAUGAAAGCAAAAACAGGCUAGCCAAAAAAUGUUUCAGUCCAAACGACACAGACGUUUAUUUGUAGUUGAACAUAAAUCAGCAGAGAUGAUGCUUCAAAGCAAAUCUAAGAAAACACGAAACCCCUUUUGAUUUGUUUGAUUUACGUCUGAUAGGCAAAUUCAACCUAAAGACGGAUAAUGAUUAAAAUUGUCUGACAGUCAUCGCUUCUUUUCGGCGUCGAGCAAAGAAAGUAUGGGAGCCAUGGUUAUAAAAUAUCUCCUAAGUAUUGUAGAAUUUCAGUGAAUUGUCAAUUUCACAAUCAUAUCAAAUCCUGGGAUCGAGAGAAGACAAAAACAUUAGACUUUGUAACAGUUGAAGAAAGAAUACAGAAAUUAUCUUAACCUUAAUCAUCACACAUUUGUAUCGAGACAUGACAACAUAUUCAACUAUUUUGUUUGUGCAUGAACAUGAUACUCACUUUUCAAAGCCGAUUGUAGCAGUUAAGUAAAUUAUACCUUGUCUGCAGGUAAACAUUAUUUAAAAAAAGAUAAUGAUGAAAAUAUAAUUAUAGAAACACAUACAUUACUAUCAUGCAAGUUACUUUGUAAAAAAAAAAGCGCAGAGUCAUGCUUAUUUAUCAUCGUAUGACCUAGAUUUAUAAUAACAGUGUUAUUUAUGAAACUCGGAAAACCUUCAACGCACACAAUUCAUUACUUGCUCGGUUCAUUACACUGUUAGAACGGGAACUUCUACAACUUCACUGAAAAUGAGGUCAGGAACGACCACUCUUUGAAAGAUUGACAAGAUUCCGUUGUAGGGAAAAUACAAUGAGAAAUAUUUCAAACAUUCUGCUCAUCUUGAAACCAUUUAGUGUCCCUGUAUUCUGUCAGAAUGGUUUAGCACUUCAAACGUAACAGAAGUUUAAUAAAAUGCACGCUAUAUUGUGUGUUUGCUUAGAUCGUCACAGAUGUUAAUGUACGUGCGACUAAAUCAGCAUUUUGUUUUCAAUUUCAGGAGCUCAAAGCAUUAAUGAUAAAUAAAAAUCGACCUUUCUGUUGUUUUAUUUUUAUGUGAAAUAAACAUUUUUAAAAGUGACUGCAAGCACGCUGAAAGACUGCAGACUUUAAUUUGUUGCAUGUAUUUGAGUGAAAUAUGUUAGGAGCAUAUAAUGCAUUGCUGUUCAAAUGU